rnacentral:rRNA from 1 species
GUGAGGAAUAUUGGUCAAUGGGCGAGAGCCUGAACCAGCCAAGUCGCGUGAAGGAAGAAGGAUCUAUGGUUCGUAAACUUCUUUUGCAGGGGAAUAAAGUGCAGGACGUGUCCUGUUUUGUAUGUACCCUGAGAAUAAGGAUCGGCUAACUCCGUGCCAGCAGCCGCGGUAAUACGGAGGAUCCGAGCGUUAUCCGGAUUUAUUGGGUUUAAAGGGUGCGUAGGUGGUUUGAUAAGUCAGCGGUGAAAGUUUGCAGCUUAACUGUAAAAAUGCCGUUGAAACUGUCGGGCUUGAGUGUAGAUGAGGUAGGCGGAAUGCGUGGUGUAGCGGUGAAAUGCAUAGAUAUCACGCAGAACUCCGAUUGCGAAGGCAGCUUACUAGGCUACAACUGACACUGAAGCACGAAAGCGUGGGGAUCAAACAGGAUUAGAAACCCCAGUAGUCC